GACGAACGCUGGCGGCGUGCCUAAUACAUGCCAGUCGAGCGAACAGACGAGGAGCUUGCUCCUCUGACGUUAGAGGCGGACGGGUGAGUAACACGUGGAUAACCUACCUAUAAGACUGGGAUAACUUCGGGAAACCGGAGCCAAUACCGGAUAAUAUAUUGAACCGCAUGGUUCAAUAGUGAAAGGCGGUCUUGCUGUCACUUAUAGAUGGAUCCGCGCCGCCUUAGCUAGUUGGUAUGGUAACGGCUUACCAACGCAGCGAUGCGUAGCCGACCUCAGGGGGUGAUCGGCGACACUGGAACUGGGACACGGUCCAGACUCCUACGGGAGGCAGCAGUAGGGAAUCUGCCGCAAUGGGCGAAAGCCUGACGGAGCAACGCCGCGUGAGUGAUGAAGGUCUUCGGAUCGUAAAACUCUGUUAUUAGGGAAGAACAAAUGUGUAAGUAGCUAUGCACGUCUUGACGGUACCUAAACAGAAAGCCACGGCUAACUACGUG
rnacentral:rRNA from 1 species